rnacentral:rRNA from 1 species
UUAGUUUUUGAAGUAUGGCCUGCCCACUGACCUUGAAUGUUGAAGGGCCGCGGUAUUUUGACCGUGCAAAGGUAGCAUAGUCAUUAGUUCUUUAAUUGUGAUCUGGUAUGAAUGGCUUGACGAGGCAUAAGCUGUCUUAAUUUUGAAUUGUUUAUUGAAUUUGGUCUUUGAGUUAAAAUUCUUAGAUGUUUUUAUGGGACGAGAAGACCCUAUAGAGUUUGACAUUUAUUCACGGUCUCUUUCUGUUUGUGAGGGUUCACUAGGGCUGUUUAAUAUGUUUUGUUGGGGUGAUGGGAGGGAUAUUAUUUAACCCCUCCUUUGUGUUGUUAUAUUUAUUUAUAUUUGCUUGAUCCAUUUAUUUUGAUUGUAAGAUUAAAUUACCUUAGGGAUAACAGCGUUAUCUCCCUUGAGAGUUCUUAUCGGCAGGGGGGUUUGCGACCUCGAUGUUGGAUUAAGGUUUAUUUUCGGUGUAGGGGCUGGAAAGUUAUAUUGGGUCUGUUCGACCUUUAAA